CCUACGGGUGGCAGCAGUGGGGAAUAUUGGGCAAUGGACGCAAGUCUGACCCAGCAACGCCGCGUGAAGGAAGAAGGCUUUCGGGUGGUAAACUUCUUUUAAGGGGGAAGAGCAGAAGACGGUACCCCUUGAAUAAGCCACGGCUAACUACGUGCCAGCAGCCGCGGUAAUACGUAGGUGGCAAGCGUUGUCCGGAUUUACUGGGUGUAAGGGGGGUGCAGCCGGAGAGGAAAGUCAGAUGUAAAAUCCGCGGCCUCAACUGGCGAACUGCAUUUGAAACUGCUUCCCUUGAAUAUCGAAGCGGUGAGAGGAAUCUGUGGUGUAGCGGUGAAAUGCGUAGAUAUAAGACAGAAAACCGAUGGCGAGGGCAUAUUACGAAACCACAACUGACGGUGAGGCGCGAAAGCGUGGGGAGCAAACAGGAUUAGAUACCCUUGUAGUC
rnacentral:rRNA from 1 species